rnacentral:rRNA from 1 species
GAGCACGUAGGUGGGUUUGUAGGUCAGACGUGAAAGCCUUCUGUUCAACGGAAGAAUUGCAUCUGAAACUACAAACCUUGAGUGUAGGAGGGGAGAAUGGAACUUCUGGUGGAGCGGUGAAAUGCGUAGAUAUCAGAAGGAACGCCGGCGGCGAAAGCGAUUCUCUGGCCUAUUACUGACACUCAGUGUGCGAAAGCUAGGGGAGCAAACGGGAUUAGAUACCCCGGUAGUCCUAGCCGUAAACGAUGGGCACUAAGUAGAGGG